rnacentral:rRNA from 1 species
GGUGACGAGCGGCGGACGGGUGAGUAAUGUCUGGGAAACUGCCUGAUGGAGGGGGAUAACUACUGGAAACGGUAGCUAAUACCGCAUAACGUCGCAAGACCAAAGUGGGGGACCUUCGGGCCUCAUGCCAUCAGAUGUGCCCAGAUGGGAUUAGCUAGUAGGUGGGGUAACGGCUCACCUAGGCGACGAUCCCUAGCUGGUCUGAGAGGAUGACCAGCCACACUGGAACUGAGACACGGUCCAGACUCCUACGGGAGGCAGCAGUGGGGAAUAUUGCACAAUGGGCGCAAGCCUGAUGCAGCCAUGCCGCGUGUGUGAAGAAGGCCUUCGGGUUGUAAAGCACUUUCAGCGGGGAGGAAGGCGAUAAGGUUAAUAACCUUGUCGAUUGACGUUACCCGCAGAAGAAGCACCGGCUAACUCCGUGCCAGCAGCCGCGGUAAUACGGAGGGUGCAAGCGUUAAUCGGAAUUACUGGGCGUAAAGCGCACGCAGGCGGUCUGUCAAGUCGGAUGUGAAAUCCCCGGGCUCAACCUGGGAACUGCAUUCGAAACUGGCAGGCUAGAGUCUUGUAGAGGGGGGUAGAAUUCCAGGUGUAGCGGUGAAAUGCGUAGAGAUCUGGAGGAAUACCGGUGGCGAAGGCGGCCCCCUGGACAAAGACUGACGCUCAGGUGCGAAAGCGUGGGGAGCAAACAGGAUUAGAUACCCUGGUAGUCCACGCCGUAAACGAUGUCGAUUUGGAGGUUGUGCCCUUGAGGCGUGGCUUCCGGAGCUAACGCGUUAAAUCGACCGCCUGGGGAGUACGGCCGCAAGGUUAAAACUCAAAUGAAUUGACGGGGGCCCGCACAAGCGGUGGAGCAUGUGGUUUAAUUCGAUGCAACGCGAAGAACCUUACCUGGUCUUGACAUCCACAGAACUUUCCAGAGAUGGAUUGGUGCCUUCGGGAACUGUGAGACAGGUGCUGCAUGGCUGUCGUCAGCUCGUGUUGUGAAAUGUUGGGUUAAGUCCCGCAACGAGCGCAACCCUUAUCCUUUG